rnacentral:rRNA from 1 species
UUCGCAAUGCCCGAAAGGGUGACGAAGCGACGCCGCGUGCGGGAAGAAGGCCUUCGGGUUGUAAACCGCUGUCGGGAGUUAGGAAAUGCAAGGAUGUUAAUAGCGUCUUUGCUUGACUAAGGCUCCGGAGGAAGCCACGGCUAACUCUGUGCCAGCAGUCGCGGUAAUACAGAGGCGGCAAGCGUUGUUCGGAAUUAUUGGGCGUAAAGAGCACGUAGGCGGCCGUGUAAGUCGGUUGUGAAAGCCUUCCGCUCAACGGGAGAACGGCAUCCGAUACUGCAUGGCUCGAGUGCGGGAGGGGAGAGUGGAACUUCUGGUGGAGCGGUGAAAUGCGUAGAUAUCAGAAGGAACACCGGCGGCGAAGGCGACUCUCUGGCCCGUAACUGACGCUGAGUGUGCGAAAGCUAGGGGAGCAAACGGGAUUAGAUACCCCGGUAGUCCUAGCCGUAAACGAUGGGCACUAAGUAGAGGGGUUUU